CUUUAUUUCUCCUCUCUCUCGGCCGACACUCUCUCUCUCUAGCUCUCACCUCUCCUUCAUCUUCUCUCCUCAAUUUCACCUCCAUGGAGUAUGAUUCCAAACAAAGUCCGAGAAUUAAAGUUGUUCUACGGAACGAGGGCUAUCUAUCCAUCCAAGAAAAAUUACGAUCGGAUCACGUAGGAGUUUCGGUUUCGCUCGGAUCUUUGGGGUUUUGCUCAAAACCCAUGAGGUACGAUUCAAGGAAGUUGACAUGGAGUACAUGUUGUGCACUUGUGACCAAACCUUUAAAAAGGUAUUCAAGAAGGAUUUCAUAGCACAAGAUCUGAAAUAGCAUUUUUUUUGGAAAGAUAGUAUUUGUAAAUUGUAAUAAUAUUUCUCUAGGAUAUUGGUAUUUUGAUGAUUUAGGGCCUUCGAGUUGGAAUGUAAUUUUUGAAUUUUAUUUGAGAACAGUGAACAAAAAGAUCUUUUGGGGUAUUAUUUGUAUUACAGCAAGGACUUUAUUUAUUAAAAGUGUUUAUUAUUUAUGUUGAAAA